CUCCAUCCAGCAACAAUAGUGAUGCUCCUAACACAGAGAUCUAUCCAUAUCAUUCUCCUCUCAAGAAGAUUCAACACUUCCCAGCUCAUUUUCCAGAUGGGGAAACUGAGACCUAAGGCUACCUGA
rnacentral:lncRNA from 1 species